UCGAGGUUGUCUGAGAGUACGGAAAAAUCAAGAGGGUUAGCCAAGAAAAACGUGUGGGGAGUUUCGCUGGGUUUUCUUCGGUGAGUGGUUGGAGGGAGAAUCGACUGAAGUUGUCGGUGUAGUAUACCGUUGCGCGUUAGUCGGAAUAGGUGAGGGGUGUCGUCGCAUCCUCGGAAUUCGGGUUGUGACAUCGUCGUUGGCGGCGCAGCGACGAUUAGGGUUUUCGCAAAUUUCGGGUAAGGAAGACGAAGGAAAACGGGUCGGGUUCACGUUCGACCUCUAGACCAGCCCACGGAACGGACGUGGGCCCUGUGCAUUUCGGCCCAACACGGACGCGCGCUGCAGCCUUUGUCUCGACUCCGCACGCAUGAUCUCGGCUCGGCUCCGUCAAAACCCGCGGCUCAGCUUGGCGGCUUAGUUGGUCGGCUCGGCAGCUCGGCUUGGUGACUCGGUAUCACUGUAAUAUAUCGAUUCCAAGGUUUUCGACCCUUCUAAAGUCAUUUCUGCCCUCGGUUUUAGCAUCCGAGAUCAGUAUGGUCCCUAAACGUUAAAGACAGCUUAGGAUGUAUUUAACUGCUGGGAUUAGCUCGUUGUGAGUGACUUCAACCAAGACCAUCGAGGUACGUGCUACUUACAUUUUUCAGAUAAAGACAAGGCGUCAAUGUACAAUUGACGGUGGAGCUGAGAACACCAUGGAAGUUGGAGAGGGGAUAUUUUUUAGG